GACGAACGCUGGCGGCGUGCCUAAUACAUGCAAGUAGAACGCUGAAGGAGGAGCUUGCUUCUCCGGAUGAGUUGCGAACGGGUGAGUAACGCGUAGGUAACCUGCCUGGUAGCGGGGGAUAACUAUUGGAAACGAUAGCUAAUACCGCAUAAGAGUAGAUGUCGCAUGACAUUUGCUUAAAAGGUGCAACUGCACCACUACCAGAUGGACCUGCGUUGUAUUAGCUAGUUGGUGAGGUAACGGCUCACCAAGGCAACGAUACAUAGCCGACCUGAGAGGGUUAUCGGGCACACGGGGAGGUGGAAAAGGCCCAGACCCCUACGGGAGGCAGCAGUAGGGAAUGUUCGGAAAGGGACGGAAGUCUGACCGGAAAACGCCGCGGGGGGGAAAAAGGUUUUCGGAUUGAAAAGCUCUGUUGAAAGAGAAGAACGGGUGGGGGGGGGGAAAGUUAAAACUGGGACGGUAUUGUACCAGAAAGGGACGGAUAAAUACGU
rnacentral:rRNA from 1 species